UAUAAAUAGACCAGACCUCAGAAUGAGACCAGGUGCCAGAUCUGGGAAGGCCGUUGGGGAAUCUGUGACCAAGAGGAUGGACGUGGUGGACAGGAUACUGGACACGCUGGCUUCGAGGAUCACUGCAAUGGAAGCGGAGGUCCGCAACAUGGUGGCUUCCUGCUGGCAUGAUCUGGAACCUGAACUUUCUGCCAAAAUAAGGCCCUACAUGAGACUGAGGCACACACGACAGGAGAAACUUACAGGACUCCAGGCUGCAUUCUUCAAUCUCCAAAUGGACAGGCUGAACAUUACUGACACCAAGAGCCUCGCAGACAAGGCAGAAGUCAUAAAAGGAGCUGGUGAGAGACACGGAGUCUGGCUGGAACCCUCGGGGAUCAAGGAUCUUCAGCCGUACAUCGGAGAGAGAAUCAAGACCACUUUGAAGAGAAGGAAACGAAUUGCGCAGGUUGUCGAUCAGGAAAAAAAAAAAAUUAAACCAAAGUUGCUAGUGUUCGAGCGUCAAAAACGUAACACCCUGACACUUUAGUACACUCCAUUUUGCACACUAGUUAAUUGUUCGUUGUUCUUAAAAUGCAUAUAUUUGACUGAAGUUUUUAUACAUGAGUAAUUACUCCAUUUUGCACACUAGUUAAUUGUUUGUCAUUGUUGUUGACGUUAAGCUUUGUAUUUUAAUAAACAUAUGCUCAAGAAGUUUG
ensembl:lncRNA